UACGUAGGGUGCGAGCGUUGUCCGGAAUUAUUGGGCGUAAAGGGCUCGUAGGCGGUCUGUUGCGUCGGGAGUGAAAACUCAGGGCUUAACCCUGAGCCUGCUUCCGAUACGGGCAGACUAGAGGUAUGCAGGGGAGAACGGAAUUCCUGGUGUAGCGGUGAAAUGCGCAGAUAUCAGGAGGAACACCGGUGGCGAAGGCGGUUCUCUGGGCAUUUACCUGACGCUGAGGAGCGAAAGUGUGGGGAGCGAACAGG
rnacentral:rRNA from 1 species